rnacentral:rRNA from 1 species
AUACGUAGGCGGCAAGCGUUGUCCGGAAUCAUUGGGCGUAAAGGGGGCGCAGGCGGGAACAUAAGGCUUUCCUGAAAGUUCGGGGGUCGGCCCCGGGAUGGGAAGGAAACUGUGUUUCUUUAGCGCGGGAGAGGGAAGCGGAAUUCCGGGUGUAGCGGGGGAAUGCGUAGAUAUCAGGAAGAACACCAGUGGCGAAGGCGGCUUCCUGGACCGCGGCUGACGCUGAGGCCCGAAAGCCAGGGGAGCGAACGGGAUUAGAUACCCCGGUAGUCCUGGCCGUAAACGAUGGAUGCUAGGUGUGGGAGGUAUCGACCCCUUCCGUGCCGGAUUCAACGCAAUAAGCAUCCCGCCUGGGGAGUACGGCCGCAAGGCUGAAACUCAAAGGAAUUGACGGGG